rnacentral:rRNA from 1 species
AGUGAACGCUGGCGGCAGGCCUAACACAUGCAAGUCGAGCGGCAGCGGGUCCUUCGGGAUGCCGGCGAGCGGCGGACGGGUGAGGAAUGCGUCGGAAUCUGCCUUUCUGUGGGGGAUAACGUAGGGAAACUUACGCUAAUACCGCAUACGACCUACGGGUGAAAGUGGGGGACCGCAAGGCCUCACGCAGAGAGAUGAGCCGACGCCGGAUUAGCUAGUUGGCGGGGUAAGGGCCCACCAAGGCGACGAUCCGUAGCUGGUCUGAGAGGAUGAUCAGCCUCACUGGAACUGAGACACGGUCCAGACUCCUACGGGAGGCAGCAGUGGGGAAUAUUGGACAAUGGGCGCAAGCCUGAUCCAGCCAUGCCGCGUGUGUGAAGAAGGCCUUCGGGUUGUAAAGCACUUUUGUCCGGAAAGAAAUCCAAUCGAUUAAUACUCGGUUGGGAUGACGGUACCGGAAGAAUAAGCACCGGCUAACUUCGUGCCAGCAGCCGCCGUAACAC